rnacentral:rRNA from 1 species
GAAAUGCGAUAAGUAAUGUGAAUUGCAGAAUUCAGUGAAUCAUCGAAUCUUUGAACGCACCUUGCGCCCUCUGGCUAUUCCGGAGGGCAUGCCUGUUUGAGUAUCAUGAACACCUCAACUCUCGUGGCUUGCUGCGAUGAGCUUGGACUUUGGGGGUCUUGCCGGCCUGCGGUCGGCUCCUCUCAAAUCGAUCAGCUUUCCAGUGUUUGGUGGCGUCACGGGUGUGAUAACCGUCUAUGCUCGUGGUGUUUCCGCCAGGUGUCCUCCAGUGAUGGGGGCCUCUGGAGCUCACAAAUGUCUCUCCGGGGACAGCUUUUCGAACGUUUGAUCUCAAAUCAGGUAGGACUACCCGCUGAACUUAA